GACGAACGCUGGCGGCGUGCCUAAUACAUGCAAGUAGAACGCUGAAGGAGGAGCUUGCUUCUCUGGAUGAGUUGCGAACGGGUGAGUAACGCGUAGGUAACCUGCCUGGUAGCGGGGGAUAACUAUUGGAAACGAUAGCUAAUACCGCAUAAGAGUAGAUGUUGCAUGACAUUUGCUUAAAAGGUGCAAUUGCAUCACUACCAGAUGGACCUGCGUUGUAUUAGCUAGUUGGUGGGGUAACGGCUCACCAAGGCGACGAUACAUAGCCGACCUGGGAGGGUGAUCGGCCACACUGGGACUGAGACACGGCCCAGACUCCUACGGGAGGCAGCAGUAGGGAAUCUUCGGCAAUGGACGGAAGUCUGACCGAGCAACGCCGCGUGAGGGAAGAAGGUUUUCGGAUCGUAAAGCUCUGUUGUAAGAGAAGAACGAGUGUGAGAGUGGAAAGUGCACACUGUGACGGUAUCUUACCAGAAAGGGACGGCUAACUACGUG
rnacentral:rRNA from 1 species